AUUGAACGCUGGCGGCAUGCUUUACACAUGCAAGUCGAACGGUAACAGGCCUUCGGGUGCUGACGAGUGGCGAACGGGUGAGUAAUGCAUCGGAACGUACCCAGAGGUGGGGGAUAACGCAGCGAAAGCUGUGCUAAUACCGCAUGUGAUCUGAGGAUGAAAGCGGGGGACCGAGCAGCAAUGUUUGGCCUCGCGCCUUUGGAGCGGCCGAUGUGGGAUUAGCUAGUUGGGGGGGUAAAGGCCUACCAAGGCGACGAUCCGUAGCUGGUCUGAGAGGACGACCAGCCGCACUGGGACUUAGACACGGCCCAGGCUCCUGCGGGAGGGAGCAGUGGGGAACUGUGGACAAUGGGCGCAAGCCUGAUCCAGCAAUGCCGCGUGCGGGAAGAAGGCCUUCGGGUUGUAAACCGCUUUUGGCAGGAACGAAACGGUGUCCGCUAAUACCGGGCGCUAAUGACGGUACCUGCAGAAUAAGCACCGGCUAACUACGUG
rnacentral:rRNA from 1 species